rnacentral:rRNA from 1 species
UACGUAGGGUGCGAGCGUUGUCCGGAAUUAUUGGGCGUAAAGAGCUCGUAGGCAGCUUGGCAAGUCGGGUGUGAAAACUCCAGGCUCAACCUGGAGACGCCACCCGAUACUGCCAUGGCUUGAGUCCGGUAGGGGACCACGGAAUUCCUGGUGUAGCGGUGAAAUGCGCAGAUAUCAGGAGGAACACCGGUGGCGAAGGCGGUGGUCUGGGCCGGUACUGACGCUGAGGAGCGAAAGCGUGGGGAGCGAACAGG